AACGCACAUUGCGCCCUUUGGUAUUCCUUAGGGCAUGCCUGUUCGAGCGUCAUUUCAAACUUCAAGCCCACCUUCUUGGCUUGGUGUUGGGCGUCUGUCUCCCCGGGGACUCGCCUCAAAUGCAUUGGCAGCCGGCACGUUGGCUUCGAGCGCAGCAGAAACGCGCGCGGCGUCUGACGGUGCCUGGCUCUCCAGAAGCCUCCACCCCAAGUUUGACCUCGGAUCAGGUAGGGAUACCCGCUGAACUUAA
rnacentral:misc_RNA from 1 species